CAUACCAAACUACCCAAAGAUUACCCACGGGGGAGACCCCCUUUGUCUUAGCCUUCAGAACAGAAGCCGUUAUCCCGACUAAACUCAAGCUUCUAUCGGCGCGAGUCAUGACAUUCGACAAGUAGCGCAACUCAUGAGAUCUCAAGGCCAACCUCGACUUGUUAGAAGAAAAGCGAGAAACAGCUCAAGUUCGGAUGGC
rnacentral:lncRNA from 1 species